UCCACUGCUACUCUGGGGUCUUGCUUGGAUAAGCCUCUGGACCUCGCCUUUGUCAUUUGCGAAGUGGAUAGGUUCCAAUAGAGAUUUUCCCAGAAUCAUUCAACUAAAAAUAGAGAACUUUUUUUUUGAGAGGAAGGACGGGGGCGCAGUUAAAGAUGUUAAUGUUAAGUCAUCCCUUCUGUGAUUUCGGGACAUUAUCUUUGCACGCCAUGUGAAGAUGUGCUUGCUUCCCUGUCACCUUCCACCAUGAUUGUAAGUUUCCUGAGGCCUCCCAGGAAGCAGAAGCCUGUACAGCCC
rnacentral:lncRNA from 1 species